UCCGUUGGUGAACCAGCGGAGGGAUCAUUACUGAGUUUACGCUCUACAACCCUUUGUGAACAUACCUAUAACUGUUGCUUCGGCGGGUAGGGUCUCCGUGACCCUCCCGGCCUCCCGCCCCCGGGCGGGUCGGCGCCCGCCGGAGGAUAACCAAACUCUGAUUUAACGACGUUUCUUCUGAGUGGUACAAGCAAAUAAUCAAAACUUUUAACAACGGAUCUCUUGGUUCUGGCAUCGAUGAAGAACGCAGCGAAAUGCGAUAAGUAAUGUGAAUUGCAGAAUUCAGUGAAUCAUCGAAUCUUUGAACGCACAUUGCGCCCGCCAGCAUUCUGGCGGGCAUGCCUGUUCGAGCGUCAUUUCAACCCUCAAGCUCUGCUUGGUGUUGGGGCCCUACAGCUGAUGUAGGCCCUCAAAGGUAGUGGCGGACCCUCCCGGAGCCUCCUUUGCGUAGUAACUUUACGUCUCGCACUGGGAUCCGGAGGGACUCUUGCCGUAAAACCCCCCAAUUUUCCAAAGGUUGACCUCGGAUCAGGUAGGAAUACCCGCUGAACUUA
rnacentral:rRNA from 6 species